GUUAGAGGUUGUUAUAUUAAUAGUAUCAUUAAGCAAUACCGUAGUCGAUAUUAGAAGAUAUUUGAUCGACGCAAUAAAGGAAUUAAUGGAAAAACAAACAUCAAAUGCUACAGAAAUUGGGUUAGUUAUUUAUUAAAAGAAAAAAUCUGAAGUUAAACGUGGAACGUCAUUAACUAGUGGGAGUCUGCACAAACUAAGGCAGGUAGGAAACAAUCCAUUGUCAAAGCGAGACUAAAGUUGUCAGGCAUUGAAGUAUGCUUGAAGUUUCAACUUUAGUUGACAAGAGGAAAAUCAUGCCUCACCUGAUGCUCAAAACGUUUUGGUGGCAAAGACCCUGGCUUCUCGAUAGGUGUUACCAUUUCAACCAUCGAACCUGGUUGUUGCGUCAGACAACAGGUGCCCGAGAGAAUUUGUUCAGGCUAUCACUGUCUUAUUAGCAUCGGUUGAGGCAAAGUUGAAGAGCGCGAUACAAUACAGAUCACGUGGUCUGAAUAUUCGAUCAUUGUACUUUUAUCGAGCCAACGGCAAUAAAUUUGUUAUUUA
rnacentral:lncRNA from 1 species